CUUCUCAAAGCAAAGCACUCUAAGGUCCCCAUUACCCCAUCAGGAAGACUCCAGAAAUCCAUCUGUGUGCACAUUCUCUUCAGCUAAGCAGCAGUGCACUCCCAAACCACCCACAAGCAGUCACUGUGCAGGAACAACGACACGCCAACUUCACUCCACGCUUCUGGACGAUAACACUGAUUGCUUGGAACCCCAAUGCUGAGAUCCAAUUCAUUUUUUUAAUAGCAGUGGAACAUCGCGUCGAAGUACGGCCUGCCCAUUCAUGACACUUAACGUUAAGUUAGCAGAUCAAUAUCAUCUUAAAAAGUUAACUCUGCAAAGACAAAAUUGCUCUUUCAGGAGAAAAAUACAUUUUCUUUCAGCCUUAAGAACUGCAGCCACCAGUAGGUGGUGUUUCUGAAAUGUCAGAGCACUUCUCCCCUACAAUGAAAUGCAAAACUCCACCUGCACUGCUGCUGCUUUUCAUGCAGGACUCCACGCUCACUGCUGCUCCACGGUCACUGCAAACAAACCUAUUUCAUCUGAGGGCCUUUGAGCAGAAAGAUUCUACCACGCGCCAAGAUGACAACACACACCUGAAAAUGUAAAUAUACCGACAACACAGGACUGAUUUGCAGGUGACAUCCCCUGCAGCUCUGCACACCUAAAGGCAAGUUUAUCCUGGCACGGCAGUGGAAGUUGACACAUCCAUUAAGUGCGUACCUGAGCGAGAAGCAGCCUUCUGCUGUCUGCAGGAAAACCAGCUCUGGAAAAAUGGAAUUAAGGUCCAAGGAUGUGCACUGAGUAUUAACAGAACACAAAUGGAGCUAGAAUUCUGCCAUCUUCCGACCCGCACGAAGGAGAACUGCUGAUGAAAACCUUUCUUUGAAACGAUCCAAGUACCGUUAUGGUAAAAAGAUCCCGACGUGAUCUUACAGCAUAUAGGAACUGCAAGUGCUCUCAUCUGCAAUGCAUGUAGUGCCU